GAAAGAAAAUACAUUCAACAUAUUCAAAUAGCCUAUAUAAACUCAUUGCUUCAGUCAGUUAAAACAUCACCAUGAUCUGACAAGUUCCUUAAAAUUAAUUUUGCAACUAAGCACCCAAAUACAGGUACAAGCAGUGAUGUGCAAACGAGGAUGUUUUAUAACUGAUGAAGAUAAAGUGAAAGUAAAUCGAUUCACUUCGAUUUGGUGAACUGGUUCGACCGGUUCACUAAGAAGAUCCGGUCAAAUAGAACGAUUCGUUAGCAAACCUUACGUCACUGUGUGGCUGUCAAUCACCGCACCGGUGUGGAUACUGCACUUUGUUCACAGAUUCUACAUCUUGAAAAUAUGACCCAAAUAAGAGUUUUCACUGGAGAAUGUCAUCUAAACAAAUAUAUGCAAAAACAGAACAUCCGUCAAAUUAACGCAUGGCAGGAAUAUAUAUGGAGCAUCACACGCUGCAGGAGAAGGACGACACGAAAACGAAAGAGAAAAAUGUCAAGCAAAAAGGACAAGUUACAACCAAAUGAAUCGAAAAGUAAAACUACCAUGAUAGUUAGACGGAGCAGCAUUAAUAGUGGCAAACCCAACAGUAAGUGUAAAUUUUAAUAUAAAAUACAUGUUACAUUUCUUCAUUAAUACUGUGAUGUCUGAACUGUUGUUUCAUCCAUUCUAGAAGUAUGACAUUAAUCAGAUCUUUGUGAUUUUAUUUCUCAGUGUCUAAUGAUGCAGGAUAUUUCACUCUGAUGUCUCAGAACAAGAUGAGAAGAGGCACUAACCCAUAGAAACUGUAGAAAUUAUGCACAAAUCUGAGUGUUUUCUUUGUUUUAAGAAAGCAGUUAUUCAACACCACUGCUAGUCAGUGAUUAUACAGUGUAUAUAGCAUACAUUUGUUAUAUUUUAUCACAUUUAUUUUUAUAUAUAUUUUAUAAUAUUACAGAGUUAUGGAAUAUUAGCUUCAACAAAUAUAGUAAAGACAGGUAGGUUGUAUGUAGGUGUUUUAAUGUUAUUUUGUAAUUAUAUACAGUAUUUUAAAAUUAGAAUCAUCUGAAACUUGUAUUCUAUUUUAUUAUAAUUAAAAUGAACUAGAAUUAUUUUUUUAAAGAAUUUUACUGUAAUAAAUCUGUACUACUGUAGGGGGAAUGAACUGGC
ensembl:lncRNA